rnacentral:rRNA from 1 species
GUGGGGAAUAUUGGACAAUGGGCGAAAGCCUGAUCCAGCCAUGCCGCGUGUGUGAAGAAGGUCUUCGGAUUGUAAAGCACUUUAAGUUGGGAGGAAGGGCAGUAAGUUAAUACCUUGCUGUUUUGACGUUACCGACAGAAUAAGCACCGGCUAACUUCGUGCCAGCAGCCGCGGUAAUACGAAGGGUGCAAGCGUUAAUCGGAAUUACUGGGCGUAAAGCGCGCGUAGGUGGUUUUGUAAGUUGGAGGUGAAAUCCCCGGGCUCAACCUGGGAACUGCCUCCAAAACUGCAUGACUAGAGUACGGUAGAGGGUAGUGGAAUUUCCUGUGUAGCGGUGAAAUGCGUAGAUAUAGGAAGGAACACCAGUGGCGAAGGCGACUACCUGGACUGAUACUGACACUGAGGUGCGAAAGCGUGGGGAGCAAACAGGAUUAGAAACCCCAGUAGUC